rnacentral:rRNA from 1 species
AACGAACGCUGGCGGCGUGCCUAACACAUGCAAGUCGAACGAAACCUCCGGGUCUUUUGGCGCACGGGUGCGUAAGGCGUGGGAACCUGCCCUUAGGUUCGGAAUAACUCCCCGAAAGGGAUGCUAAUGCCGGAUAAUGUCUUCCCACCAAAGAUUUAUGGCGUUUGGAUGGGCCCGCGUUGGAUUAGCUGGUUGGUAGGGUAAAAGCAUUGCAAGGCGUCGAUGCAUAGCUGGUCUGAGAGGAUGACACACUACACUUGGGAUAAGACACGGACCAGAAUCGUACGCAAGGGUGGAGAGGGGUAUAUUGGAAGAGGGGGCCAGAUCUGAACCAGCCAUGUCGGGGAAGUGGGGAAGGGGGUAGGGUUGUAAAGUUGUUUUAACCGGGAUGAUAAUGACAGUACCGGGUGAAUAAGCUCCGGCUAACUACGUG